AUUGAACGCUGGCGGCAUGCCUUACACAUGCAAGUCGAACGGCAGCACGGGAGCAAUCCUGGUGGCGAGUGGCGAACGGGUGAGUAAUAUAUCGGAACGUGCCCAGUAAUGGGGGAUAGCCCGGCGAAAGCCGGAUUAAUACCGCAUACGACCUACGGGUGAAAGCGGGGGAUCGCAAGACCUCGCGUUAUUGGAGCGGCCGAUAUCAGAUUAGCUAGUUGGCGGGGUAAGAGCCCACCAAGGCGACGAUCUGUAGCUGGUCUGAGAGGACGACCAGCCACACUGGGACUGAGACACGGCCCAGACUCCUACGGGAGGCUG
rnacentral:rRNA from 1 species